GACAACGCUGGCGGCGUGCUUAACACAUGCAAGUUGAACGGGCAUACAUGGAAGCUUGCUGAAGUGUAUGUUAGUAGCGGACGGGUGAGUAAUGCAUGAGAAGCUGCCAUUGGGAGGGGGACAACAGUUGGAAACGGCUGCUAAUACCCCGUAUGCCGGAAGGUAAAAGGGAGCGAUCCGCCUGAUGAGGUGCUCAUGUCCUAUCAGCUGGUUGGUGGGGUAACGGCCUACCAAGGCGACGACGGGUAGCCGGCCUGAGAGGGUGAACGGCCACACUGGAACUGAGAUACGGUCCAGACUCCUACGGGAGGCAGCAGUGGGGAAUAUUGGGCAAUGGGGGCAACCCUGACCCAGCGACGCCGCGUGAGGGAAGACGGCCUUCGGGUUGUAAACCUCUUUUGUACGGGAAGAAGGAAGUGACGGUACUGUACGAAUAAGUCCCGGCUAACUACGUG
rnacentral:rRNA from 1 species